rnacentral:rRNA from 1 species
GACAGAGGGGGCAAGCGUUGCUCGGAAUUACUGGGCGUAAAGGGCGCGUAGGCGGAAUGGCAAGUCGGUCGUGAAAUCCUUCGGCUCAACCGAAGAACGUCGAUCGAAACUGCCGUUCUUGAGGAUUGCAGAGGAGACUGGAAUUCCCGGUGUAGCGGUGAAAUGUGUAGAGAUCGGGAGGAACACCGGUGGCGAAGGCGGGUCUCUGGGCAAUUCCUGACGCUGAGGCGCGAAAGCGUGGGGAUCAAACAGG